ensembl:antisense Gm11455 predicted gene 11455
UGGCUCAGUGUGCUCUCAAGCUUAUUCAGAGAAGGUUGACAGACUUCAUUUUAUUGUUCAUCUAGGUCAAUAAUUCCCAGGAGAGAAAGUUUCUACUUGAGACUUGGAGUUUCAGUAUUCCUGUCUUAAAAAGCCUCCAAAAGAACUGUGAAACACAUAUUGAUUUUGGCCUUGACUUCAGUGCAUCUCAAACGGGCUGAUUCUACAGAACUUGAUUCAAAGCAUUUCUUCUAUGUCUUGAUGCCUUUCUGCCAAGCAAAAUUGAUCAUUUCUGACCAGAAGGCUCUGAGCUGAAGGAAAGUGAGGAGGCUCUCGGCUGCUGCAGGCACACUUUGGCUGUGCGUGUGGGGCUUUUAAUUUUUCUCUUAAGCUCUCCUAGUCACUGUGCUGCUUGUCCCGUUGUCAGGGACCAUUUGGAGGGCACAUUUGGUACAGUUGCCGAGUCCUGGAGCUCGUAACUGGGUCUUUAGAUGUCUGUUUCCUUGGCACUCUGAUGAGUAGAUACCCGGGGUCUUCCCUGUCAGUUGAUUCUUGUCUUUUCUUGUAUCGCGACAUCUGCUGUGGUUGAGUCUGUGGUGCUGAUGUGCUUUCACCAGCAAUGCCUGGUCUGGUUUGUUGUUCGGUAAGAAGUAUGUUUAGUUCCAGUCUGACAACUUCCCUGAGUGUCUAGGACAGUAGUUCUCAACCUGUGAGUCACGCCCUCUGUAGGGGAAGGAAGUGUCACACAUCCGAU